GACGAACGCUGGCGGCGUGCUUAACACAUGCAAGUCGAGCGGUAAGGCCCUUUCGGGGGUACGACGAGCGGCGAACGGGUGAGUAACACGUGGGUGACCUGCCCUUAGCUCUGGGAUAAGCCUGGGAAACUGGGUCUAAUACCGGAUAUGACUCCAUGACGCAUGUUGUGGGGUGGAAAGCCUUGUGCGGCUAGGGAUGGGCCCGCGGCCUAUCAGCUUGUUGGUGGGGUGAUGGCCACCAAGGCGACGACGGUAGCCGCCUGAGAGGGCGACCGGCCACACUGGGACGUGAGACACGGCCCAGACUCCUACGGGAGGCAGCAGUGGGGAAUCUUGCGCAAUGGGCGAAAGCCUGACGCAGCGACGCCGCGUGGGGA
rnacentral:rRNA from 1 species